GGGGGUGUAGCUCAGUGGAAGAGCAGGGGCCUUUUAAGCCCUUGGCCGGGGGUUCGAAUCCCUCCACCCUCA
rnacentral:tRNA from 1 species